rnacentral:rRNA from 1 species
GACGAACGCUGGCGGCGUGCUUAACACAUGCAAGUCGAGCGGUAAGGCCCUUUCGGGGGUACACGAGCGGCGAACGGGUGAGUAACACGUGGGUGACCUGCCUCUAGCUCUGGGAUAAGCCCGGGAAACUGGGUCUAAUACUGGAUAUGACUCCAUGACGCAUGUUGUGGGGUGGAAAGCCUUGUGCGGCUAGAGAUGGGCCCGCGGCCUAUCAGCUUGUUGGUGGGGUGAUGGGCCUACCAAGGCGACGACGGGUAGCCGGCCUGAGAGGGCGACCGGCCACACUGGGGACUGAGACACGGCCCAGACUCCUACGGGAGGCAGCAGUGGGGAAUCUUGCGCAAUGGGCGAAAGCCUGACGCAGCGACGCCGCGUGAGGGAUGACG